rnacentral:sRNA from 1 species
GCGUUAACCAAUACCACACUGCUGCUCAGGAUAGACCUCAAAUAAUAGCAGCAGUGGCAUUUUCCCUGGUGUUGGCGCAGUAUUCGCGCACCCCGGUUUCGAC